UUUUCUUUUUGUUUCAACAGAUUGAAACUGAUGAAGAGCUGGAUGGAGUUAACUGAUGAGUAGACAUUACAACAUUUCUUAUAUUUGCAAGAUGAAGCUGAAAGUCCCAUGCAGGAUGAUGCUUCUCUACAGUGGAUGAUGAAGGCAUGCUGAUUACAAACCCAGGAGAGGAACAAAGAACAGAUAUUGACAGAAGCAUAUCUAGAGAUGCGGGCCUACUACACUUCAUACGAGCAAGUGUGCUAAUAUACAAUACUUGGGUUAUCAUCACAGCCCUUUCUUCUGAAAACUAGCCUACAACUUCAUCGAUGAAUGCAGAAGACAUCUACAUGGGACUACGUCUUAAAGAUGCAACCCUCAUAUAAUGAAAGAGGACAUUAGAGAUGGGUUUAAACUUGAAUAUUUACAUACUAUUUAUUUAUUAUUUGUAUU
rnacentral:lncRNA from 1 species